UUGCUUUCCCUGGGUCUUUACAACUUAUUUUAUUGUAGUGAAAAAUGUGCCAUUGUGAUGUGAUGGAGGAGUAGGAGCAGCAAAACCAAACUGUUUCUUGGGUCUUCAAAAGAAGUCAAAACACAGAUUUCCAACCAUCCAUAGUUAGAGGAGAAGAAUUACUGGUCCAGGCUCCAGGCACAGGGUGGGAACUGGGGUUAUGUCUCCUAUUUGAUAAGCAUCUGUAGACUGUUACCGCCUUUCUAAUGGAGCUGCAUGCAGAGAACUCCAUGGAAGUACCAGCUGCAAGUGCCUCUGAAAUAACACCUUAGAAAUGCAGGCAGUUUGUGAGCUGUGCUAAUCCUGCAACAUUUUGCUGAACUCUAACCACCAGAAAUACUGUGUGCCCCAGUUAUGCCUUGGGCAGGAAUUCAUCCCCCAAAAGCACUGCUAAUCCAUCUGCAACCUGGAAGUUGUUCAAUCCCUG